CCUCACUCUCCAGGUGCCCUUUGCACCCAACAGUGCGUGUGAGGAACGAACUGCUGUUUGAGCCUCCCCUGAGAUUGUGCGUAGCCUCCAUGUAAAUGUAAUAGCCUCCAUGGCUUAAUUGGCUAUCAAGCGAAUUUUCCCAGAUGAAAGCAAUGUUAGGUUAGGGGACGACGGUGCAGCCACGCAGCCUUUACCAGCAGCGUGCUGCAGACGAAGGCAGUCAAGGUGUGGAGGUGAUCACGCAGCCACUCAGGAUGGGAUCUCUGAAUCAAUAGGAAGCAUAAAUGAGAGAUGUCAGGGGAGGAUUGAAGGAUGCUGAUGGAGGUGGGAAGGCCUGAAGUGGCCCGCCUGUGCUAGACUGAAAGUGAUUCAGGCCCCACCCAAAUGCAGGAGCAGUGGAGCCUAAAUCCUUCACAACUGCACAUUAGAGGAGAGAGGAUCUGACCAUCAUCCUGCAACUAGAGUUACCGUUAAUCAAGGUGCAGCUCAGUUGCCAUGAUGCUCCUUGAGUCAAUGAGCUCUUUGGUCUGCUCUUCUGCUCAAGCAGAAAAUGAUCUGCGCUUCACCCUUGAGAAGCUGACGAGAACCACAGGCUUCUUCAGGCAGGUGGUGGAACAUGGGUGUAUCCUGCAGGUGCUCACAGUAUCUCCCUUUGCUCAGGUGACGGAGGCUUGGGGUUUUCCAGCUCUUGACCUAAAAUUCCUGAAUGAUUGUUUUCAAAUUUCUUAAUGAAUAAUAGGAUGAACUUGCCACCCCUGUCAGGGGGGAAUGGGGUUCCUGAGAGCUGAGAGGCCAGGAUCCAGAUCCUGAGCCUCUUCACCAAGCAGAUGCUGUAGAGCAAAGGCAGCAACUAUCUAUCUAUCUAUCUAUCUAUCUAUCUAUCUAUCUAUCUAUCUAUCUAAUUUCCCCUUCCCUUUAAGGAAAUCCUCAGGACUAGGUGAGAUCUUAGAUCUAGUGGAGAAUCUGAGUUGCUCCAAGCAAAACCUCAGGAUCCUGCAAUCUGAAAAGGUAGAACCAAGGCAAAUGUGGGCAGCAAUACCCAGAAGUUGGGUACUGAGCCUGUUAGGGAGCAUUUUUUUCAGGGGAGUGAAGUAAAUAAUGAGGUGUAGAGAGCAGCGAGAAUGAGAAGCCAAAUCACAGACUGCAAAAUCACACAGCAUCUGUCCUUUCUCCCUGGUCAGAGAGAGUAUGAUGGGUAGUCUCCAAUAUAGAAAGCCCAUUGUGUCCUUCAGCUCCCCCAUACAGUCGCAGAACAGGCCUGAUUCUGAAAUUUCUGUUCUCUUUAGGCUCUAGCCUGAUUUUCUGGCUCAUAAGGCCAAAGGGAGCUGGAAAGGUCCCCACGGCAGGACUCAUGGUGGAGAGAGAAUGGUCUAGAGGAUUCAGGCCUCUGCACACUGUGUCUGGGUCCCUCCUUAAACAAUGAUAAAGACAAGUAAAGAGCUUGAAGCAGCCUGGAGUCCAGCCAGAAACCUUUAACUGAGCUUUAAAGGAGAUGGUCACAACACUUUUCAGAAUACUGGCAAAGGCCUCCUGUGGCCAGGUUUGUCCUGGGAUGAGCAAAAUUUAAUGUUAACCUGCUGUAUCUUUGCUUUUAAUAUAUCUGCUUGCCCAUCACAAUGACGUUAUGGUUAAUUUCACCAAUUUGGUAACCUGCCUCAUGGGAAGUACGAAAGUAAGCAAGGGCCAGGUGUGGUGACUCACGCCUGUAAUCCCAGUACUUUGGGUGGCUGAGGCAGGUGGAUUGCUUGAGCCCAGGAGUUCAAGACCAACCUGGGCACCAUGACAAAACCCCGUCUCUAAAAAAUAUAUAAAAAUUAACCAGGGGUGGCAGUGCAUGGCUGUAAUCCCAGCUACUUGGAGGCUGAGGUGGGAGAAUCUCUUGAGCCUGGGAGGCAGAGGUUGCAGUGAGCUGAGAUCACACCACUGCAUUCCAGCCUGGGCAACGAAGUGAGACCCUGUCUCAAAAAAAAAAAAAAAAAAAAGAGAAAGACAGUGAGGGUGUCCUGUGAAUCAAAUCUUUGAAUGGAUGUUUUCUUAACUAACCAAGACGUCUGUAAGAAUUCUGUCUUUGAUUCCACAAUAAAGUGGUGUGAAAUUAGUAUAAGCAAAUGUUUACAUGUCUCAUUUAAUCUUCACAACAAUCCUAUGAGGCAAGUAGAAUUGUUAUCCUCAUUUUCUGAGUGAUGAAACUGAGGCUCAGGGGAGGGUGUGACCUUGCCAAGUCCCCACAACUGGAAACCACAGAACAAAAUGACCUGAGUCACACAUGCUAGGAAAAACUCAUUGUGCCUCCCCAUGGAGCUUCACAAUGGCUAUUUCUGUUGCAAUAGAGGAUGAAGCAGGUGGUCUUUCCAAUCAAGAGCUGUUAAGAAAGCCUCCAGUUCUCCCCGGGGAAUCUCAGAAUCAGACUGAAGAUUCGGAAGAGCCUUUGCUGACCACUGAGUCAAACUCCCCAGAAUCCUUUUAUAGUACCGCUGACCAGUGAGUGAUCAUCAAACCUCCAAAGACUUCGGUAAUUUGCAGAUUCUAGGGAAAAUUCCAUGAGUUAACAGAGGUGAAAUUUGAAAGUUCCAUAGAGAAAUUCUGGAACUUGAAAUUAUCAUAGGAAGAUUAUUAUGCAAUUUUGUUCCUGUUAGUAGUCUUUAAUAAAGAGACUUCAGGUGAACAUUGGGUUGAACCAAGAUUACUUUCUUCCAUUGUCACCAUUCUGAUUUCAGAUUGUUCCUUGCUGGUUUAUAUACUCUUCAAUUCCAUUUUGUACCAGAUAGAGGCAGAGUAGAAGGAAAAACUGAACAACAAACCACGUUUGUGCCAGCUCGAGGGAUAAACACCCUCUAAGGAGCAUCUCAAGCUUUCCACAAGAUUUCAACAGGGCCACCCCAGUUCACAGGCAGGUAGUGUGUCUUCAAUGUGUGGCCAAUCGCUGUUGGACAAACAGGAGGUGUUUUCCCCAGGAUACCCUGCACUAGACUCGGCAUCUUUUCAGUCUUCUUCCUAUUCUGUCUCCUUCCCAGCACACUGACACUGGAAGCACACUAUGUCAUCACAUGAGCAAUUCACAGGUGCCAUGAAAUACCUCACAAAUGUACAGUACUUUAACUGUUGACCCCAUGUAUUAGGUAAGAAAGAUAUUAUUAUUUACAUUUAUCUAUUGGAACUUGGGGGCACAGAGUGUUUAAAUUACCUGCCCAAGGGCACACAAGUCACUCACCUCUUGUGUUUCAAUUAUACAAUGGCUUAGUGAUUCUUUCUUUCAGACGAUUGUUGUGAGGAGUGAAUGGAAUUAAAUCAAGUCUAUGUGGAAAGGGCCUGGAGCAUGAGUUCUCAAUGCAGGGUGACUACUGUCAGCACCAACUAGUUAUGAUAAUGACCAUGAUGAUGACGGGGAAAUAAUAACACCUUGAAGUAAUAAUAAUGAAGUUAGAACGAUACCCCCAAAUGUAUGAAAAUUACAUCUAUAAAAUGAGUUAGUUUAUAAAUCGUGAGAAAAUGGGCAUCCUCAGGUAUUGCAGGUAGAAACACACAAUGGAAUAACUCUUGUCAGCAAGCUAAUCCAUUUCCAGGAAUUAAUUUUUUUUUUUUUUUUUGAGACAGUCUUGCUCUGUCACCCAGGUUGGAGUGCAAUGGUAUGAUCUUGGUUCACUGCAACCUCCGCCUCCCAGGUUCAAGUGAUUCCCCUGCCUCAGCCCCCCAUUAGCUGGGACUACAGGCGCACACCACCAUGCCCAGCUAAUUUUUGUAUUUUGGGUAGAGACGGGGUUUCACUAUGUUGACCAGGAUGGUCUUGAUCUCUUGACCUCGUGUUCUGCCAGCCUCGGCCUCCCAAAGUGCUGGAAUUACAGGCAUGAUCCACCACCCCAAGUCCAGAAUUUCCUAACAAGUUCCCAAGAGAUGAAGGUGCUACUGGUCAGUGACCCCCUGCUCAAAACCACUGCCCUAGGAGAUGGGGGCUCUUCUAUGCCCCAUUUUUACAGGUAAGGCUGGUCAUGGAAGUGGGAGAUACAAAAUAAAGGGUGGGGUCACGUUCCUUUCUAAAAACCUAAAUGCAUGUCAGGCAAGUAGGGCUUAGAAAAGAAUUUACCCUCCUUCACCUCUGUCACCUCAUCCCUCCUUCCAACCUCCAUCACUUGUUUGGCAAACUGGACUCUGGGAGCCAGAAGGCACCAGAAAAAGUGGAAUGUGAGCCUGCAGGCCAUCAAGGUGAAGCCCUGAGGAUCCCCCGGGGCCAGUCCCUCCACUUUGAUGCGGAUAAGCCUCAGCUAGUGUCAAGUUGAAAGGAGAAAAAGACAGGUGAGUCACUGUUAAAGAAACAGGUUCACAUAUGUAGGUCUAGGAGCACUGCAAGUAGUUCUUACAGUGGGAGAGAGCAAUUGUGCUCAACUCUGAAUCCAGCACAAGGAAGUGGGAAUUAUAGUCAAGGAGGAGGAUGGGGGUUAGCAGAUAGGAAAUGACUACGAGGGAACAUCAAGGGUAAGGGAGGAUUCUGGCUAAACUGACCUAACGAGAUUCUCGCUGAGCACAGGCCAAGGUUAUCUGACAUCAGCUGCGGGAUGGUGGGGGAUGAGGACCCUGAUCAGUAUAUGGUGGACGGGGAUUCCUGCCAGCUAAACUGACUUAGCAGGGUAAUUUGCUAAAACUGAAUUUUACAAAAAGUGCACAGAUGCGUUUAUCAGAAGGUUCAGAAGCCUGACUAAUGUAUGGUCAAGCAAACAAUUUCUGUCACCACACAGAAUGCAUGCUCCAGGGACCAUACUGGGCCUCAGCAUCUUCCUACCCCACCAGCUUCCAGGAGGGCAUUUUGCCCUGGGCCUCCUGGGUGUUUCCUUGCCUGAUCAUUUCUAGGAGACAAGAGACUUGCACUUUAUCACCUAGGAUAAAUUCAGUGUCAGAUUUUUAAGCCUAAAUCGGAUGACAGUGCUUCAGUGACAAUCUCAGUUAUUUAAAAAGGGAGGUUCAUUCAUUCACCAGUUCUAAAGGCGCACAUAAGACAUUCUUUUUUUUUUUUUUUUUU